UUUUAGCCCCGAUUGCAGUGGAAAUCCUUUUUGAGGCUUUUCGCCGAUAAAAAGAUUGUAACGGAAAGCGGGAAAUAGC
rnacentral:sRNA from 1 species